rnacentral:rRNA from 1 species
UGGGCAAUUUUGGACAAUGGGGGAAACCCUGAUCCAGCCAUCCCGCGUGUGCGAUGAAGGCCUUCGGGUUGUAAAGCACUUUUGGCAGGAAAGAAACGUCAUGGGUUAAUACCCCGUGAAACUGACGGUACCUGCAGAAUAAGCACCGGCUAACUACGUGCCAGCAGCCGCGGUAAUACGUAGGGUGCAAGCGUUAAUCGGAAUUACUGGGCGUAAAGCGUGCGCAGGCGGUUCGGAAAGAAAGAUGUGAAAUCCCAGAGCUCAACUUUGGAACUGCAUUUUUAACUACCGGGCUAGAGUGUGUCAGAGGGAGGUGGAAUUCCGCGUGUAGCAGUGAAAUGCGUAGAUAUGCGGAGGAACACCGAUGGCGAAGGCAGCCUCCUGGGAUAACACUGACGCUCAUGCACGAAAGCGUGGGGAGCAAACAGG